CAGCAGUGGGGAAUAUUGCACAAUGGGCGCAAGCCUGAUGCAGCCAUGCCGCGUGUAUGAAGAAGGCCUUCGGGUUGUAAAGUACUUUCAGCAGUGAGGAAGGUGGGUAUGUUAAUAGCAUACUCAUUUGACGUUAGCUGCAGAAGAAGCACCGGCUAACUCCGUGCCAGCAGCCGCGGUAAUACGGAGGGUGCGAGCGUUAAUCGGAAUUACUGGGCGUAAAGCGCAUGCAGGUGGUUUGUUAAGUCAGAUGUGAAAGCCCGGGGCUCAACCUCGGAAUUGCAUUUGAAACUGGCAAACUAGAGUACUGUAGAGGGGGUAGAAUUUCAGGUGUAGCGGUGAAAUGCGUAGAGAUCUGAAGGAAUACCGGUGGCGAAGGCGGCCCCCUGGACAGAUACUGACACUCAGAUGCGAAAGCGUGGGGAGCAAACAGGAUUAUAUACCCUGGUAG
rnacentral:rRNA from 1 species